GUUUUUAAUUCUGAAGUGAUUUUUGCAAGCCAAGUUUCAGCACAUUGUCAUUAGCGUUGAGUAAAAUUAAUUUGGUAAAUAACUUUUUGAGUAAAAGCUUUUUGGACGGAAUGUCUUUAUCUUUCUAGGAGGUGGGGUGAUUCAAUCGGAUUUUAAUCCAAUCCUGAGCGCAUGUUUUCUCCCCUUUCCAGUAAAAUAGCAGGCGAGAUAAACUGAUGUUAGGCCUAACGUUAACGUUACCUGUUUUUUUUACACUGAACUUCUGGUAUAGUUUGAGUCUUUUGUUAAUAUUUUGACAUAUAUUCUCCACCUCCCCAUGUAAUGUUGUUUCAGAUAAUUUUCAUAUCAUAUUAAAUCUUAAAAUACUGUGCCUGUGUGUGUGUGCGCGCGUGUGUGUUCUGUUGUGUGUGUGUUGUUUUGCAGCUUACAGCUCAUUCAAGUGCCACUGGUCUUGCAGUAUUUCAUCUUUUCCAAACAACCGAGUAAAUUUACAGCUCAUUCAAGUGCCACUGGUCUGUUUUUGGAGAAUUUCAUGUUUAAGGUGCUGUGAGAAAGAGCCAUGUCUCCUGUGCCGCCACUGAUGAUGACAUUACUAAACACGUAAUACGGUGGUUCAACUUGGCAGCAGAUAGGGGAAACUCAAGGAGCCGUCCCACUGUCAGCACCCAACAGUAGCGUUUCGGUGUUUCACAGUUAACUUCUGUGUUUUGAAGUGUUCGUUUAACAGUUAAGUAGUAACAGUUGAGAUAAAGUUUACUACUUUAAAUAGUUUUGUGAUCUUCAAAAAACCCAGUUUCCACACAAAAAAAUAAGCAGUGCAACAUUAAUAAGAAUAAAUGUUUCUUGAGCUACAUUAAAAAAGUGUUCUUUUUCAUUAAAUAAAAAAUGUUCUUUGGACAAUUUAUGGUUGCAUUUCAUUUUCUGUAAUACCUAUUAAUUGUAUACAUAAAUAAUUGUUACUGGCUAAAAUGGCUGAAUUUUGAUUUACAAGUUUUGAAUGAUUUCAUCAUGUUUUAUUAAUAAAGGCAGGCAUAUUAAAUAUUAUAGAGCAAUCCAGUCUAUCCAAUGUCGGUCCAUUAGAUUUGAAAUAUUUCUUUAGCUAGUUUUGGCCAGAAUACUAGUUUUAAAUGAGGGAUCUGAAAGGUAUCCAGACAGAAU